rnacentral:miRNA from 2 species
AUGGGCAACGUUUCAAACCGUGU